UUGACCUAUAAGAAAAUCAGCCCAUAAUGGCUCAGUAAUAGUUAUUUAAAACUCGUACCAUGUACUUAGUUAAGUAUGUUAAUGUCAGUGAAAUGCCAACAAGCAACACGGUGGUAAGAUUUCAAGAUAUUUGCUAUUCGGGAUAUCACAAACAUUUAAAAAGAAGUCCAGUUGAAAUUAAUUAAUACAUGUGAAUACUGAAUUUUUACACUUUUAUAAUUUCCUGGAAAAAAAAGAACCAUUAACACAUUCAGCCACAGUUUAAAACUUCCAACGUAACUUAUUUCUGUUAAAUAAAAAUUUCUGACGUGGCAUGUGGAUUAGCAUUUCCUUUUGCAGUUUAUGUCAAAGGAAGCUGAAAUCUCCCACAGAAAUCAAUUUGGGCAAAUGUGAAAAAUAAAAUUCUCAAUGAAAUAUUUAUGUUCUGCUAUUGUCAGUAAAAAGAGUCGGACUUGUGAAUAUGAUUCUGUUGAGACCAUAAUUAUGCAGAGACACGAUCAGUUUUGUAUGAUGAACAACUUCAAAAUUAUAUAUUUUUUACUGUUCAACCUCAGUGAUUCAGGAAAUAUAUUCAAGAAAGUUGUGAUCCAUCACUGAUGUAUUAGCAAUAAUGGUUCAAUCCUAAUUGAAACAAUACGGUACACAACCACUGAUAACAGAACAUGCAAAGUAAUAAAGUAAGAGUACAGCUGUCCCACUACACGCCAUAUAAGCGCUUAGGGGGAGAGGCGGUAUAACUAAUUCUUGACCUCGGCACUACGCGGGGGUGAGUGGUCAGCAUCAUGCCCUGGCCGCACAGUAAAAAGUUUGGACCUGUUGGUGUUUCCAUCGGCUUGUUACAAUUAAAAUCAUCAUUACUGUUUUUUUUUUCUUCACAGGAUUUCUUGGUGCUGUUCCUCUUGAACGAAUGGCGAUCAGCACCAACCAGGCCUCAGGUUUCUGAUGACGUCUGCUGAUUCUGGGGUGCAGGACCAGGAGAAAAUGAGGUGAUCUCUAGCAUCAUGUGGUUCAUUCGGAUCUCUGGAGCCCACAGCAUUAAGAAUCACCUCUGAGGUGACACUAAGAGUUUGCUCAUUGUCCCCAGCCAAUUCAGCAACGAUGGGGAGAGCUACAAUACGGAACCAGCACUGCAAAAAACCAAGGCCAAAAGACUAAAUACAUCGCACUCCCAGUACUACGACAUCAUUCCAUGCUCAAAAGAUUCAAAGGAAAUUCAACAUUAUCAGUUACUCACAAAUGAUAAUAUAUUUAACUGAUGAAAA